GCAGUAGCCACGGGAAUACGUAGGGUGCAAGCGUUGUCCGGAAUUAUUGGGCGUAAAGAGCUCGUAGGCGGUUUGUCGCGUCUGCUGUGAAAUCCCGAGGCUCAACCUCGGGCUUGCAGUGGGUACGGGCAGACUAGAGUGCGGUAGGGGAGAUUGGAAUUCCUGGUGUAGCGGUGGAAUGCGCAGAUAUCAGGAGGAACACCGAUGGCGAAGGCAGAUCUCUGGGCCGUAACUGACGCUGAGGAGCGAAAGCGUGGGGAGCGAACAGGAUAGAUACCCCAGUAGUCCCUGUCUCUUAUACA
rnacentral:rRNA from 1 species